GUGCUCACUUUGGCAGCACAUAUACUAAAAUUAUAAUGGCACAGAGAAUGUUAGCAUGGCCCCUGCAUAAGAAUGAUUUUCAAAUUUGUGAAGUGUUCCAUAUUAAA
rnacentral:snRNA from 1 species